ACGCCUAUACGGUUCCUCCAACGAAGUUCGUGCGAAGCUUUCUAUUAUGGCUUCCAGCGGGGUCCCGGUGAGCGCUGCCGGCUCGGCUAAUGAAACUCCCGAAAUACCUGACAACGUGGGAGAUUGGCUUCUGGGCGUCUACCGCUUUGCCACUGAUAGGAAUGACUUCCGGAGGAACUUGAUCCUCAAUUUGGGACUCUUUGCUGUGGGAGUUUGGCUGGCCAGGAACUUGAGUGACAUUGACCUCAUGGCACCUCAGCCAGGGGUGUAGCCAAGUAGACAAAUGGAAUCCUGUGCUGAACCUGAACCUUCCAAAAAACAACCUACAAUCUGACCAUCACAAGAUGUGCCCUGAUGGCAGCUGAAGUUUGAUUCAGAUGGGCACUUUCCUUUUCCUUAUCCCUGCCUAGUUUCCUUUUGUUCCUUGAGUCCACGCAGAAUUCCAUUCUCUGAUCAGCAGACAAAUUUAAGCUAAAGUAUUGCCUCUGUUCUGUAAAGUUCUGUACAAAGUUCCUAAGCUUCUCCAGGGGGUGAUCUUUGUUCUUGUCCUGAGAAAUAACAAUGCUGUUUUAACAAACAUUUGAAAUAAAUACUGCACACA